CGGGGUGUAGCGCAGCCCGGUAGCGCACUUGACUGGGGGUCAAGGGGUCGUCGGUUCAAAUCCGGCCACCCCGA
rfam:Rhizobium sp. RT36D genome assembly, contig: Ga0136764_120